CAUCCUCAUCCUCUUCUUCCUCUUCCACUUCCUGUUCCAUUUCUUCUUCCUCUCCCUCUUUUCCCUGCCCUUCCUCCCCGCUCCCUCCUUUUCCUCCUCCCAGAUUUCUCCACUUCCAGCGCUCCCUCCACUCCCAUUUUUCCCUGUUUUUUAUCCCCAUUUCCUCCCAUUUUUCCCCAUUUUCCCCUCCCAUUUUUUCUCAAAUUUUCCCCCGGAUUUUCCCCAUUUUUGCCAGUUUUUCCCAGUUUCCCCCAUUUCCCUACAUUUUCCCCCAUUUUUUCCCCACUUUUUAUCAUUUUCCCCCGUUUUUCCCCAUUUCCCCCCAUUUUCCCAUUUCCUAUUUUCCCCAUUUUCUCCUGUUUUUUCCCCAUUUUCCCCCCUCAUUUCCCCCCUUUUUCCCCCAAUUUUUUCUGGUUUUCCCCCAUUUUCCUUCCGUAUUUUCUCAGUUUUCCUCUGUUUUUCUUAUUUUCCCCCACUUUUUCCCCAUUUUUUCCCUUUUCCCCCUUCCCCCCCCCCCCCAUUUUUCCCUGUUUUUUCCCCAUUUUUUCCCCAUCUCCCAGCCCAAAAUUCCAAUUUUUCCAUGGAUUUAUCCCAAUUUUUCCAUGAUUUUCCCCCCCAGGUUCGUUCAAAUCACCACAGUGGCUCUCCUCUCCCACUCCCAUUUUUCCCCAUUUUCCACAUUUUUUCCUGAGUUUUUUCCCGUAUUUUUCCCCCUUUUUUUCCAAUCCCCAGAAUUCCCAUUUUCCUGUGGAUUUAUCCCAAUUUUCCCUGUUUUUCCCCUUCCCAGUUUCAUUAAAACCACCUCCAACACCUCGGUGCCUCCCCUCUCCCACUCCCGUUUCCCCCAUUUUUCCCUCAUUUUUCCCUGGAUUUUUUCCCAGAUUUUUCCAACUCCCCUCCCGUCCCACAAUUCCCAUUUUCCCAUGGAUUUACCUGGAUUUUCCCUUUUUUUCCCACAGUUCCAUAAAAAUUUCACUCACUCCCAGCCCCAUUCCUGCUGGAAUUUUGGGUGUAUUUUCCCAUUUUUUCCCCAUUUUCCCCCGUAUUUUCCACGGAUUUUCUCCCAGAUUUUUUCCAGACCCCAGAAUUCCCGUUUUCCCAUGGAUUUACCCCGAUUUUCCCUGUUUUUCCCCGGGCCAGGUUUGUGAAAACCACCUCGAACGCCACGGUGGAUCACCUGUCCAAGUACCUGGCGCUGCGCAUCGCCCUGGAGGAGGCCCCGCCCCCCGGGGCUGACCCCGCCCCCUCGCUGGGCGACGUCAGCGAGAAGCAGUACGGCAUCUACAGCGGCGCCAACGGCGGCGCCUUCACGGUAACGGCGCCGGGGAACGGGGCCGGGGAACGGGGCCGGCAAGCAAACAUGGCUGACAAACAUGGCCGGCAGACAAACAUGGCUGACAAACUAACAUGGCCGGCAAACAAACAGGGCUGACAAACAAACAUGGCUGACAAA
rnacentral:lncRNA from 1 species